GUUGCCAAGGUCACACCAGUUAGUAAGUAGCAGAGCUCUGCUUCAAACCCCAGUUUUAAGCCACAUUUCCUUGCCUCGCUCAUCAAGCACAUUCUUUUUUUUUUUUUUUUUUUUUGCAGGGCAAUGGGGUUAAGUGACUUGCCCAGGGUCACACAGCUAGUAAGUGUCAAGUGUCUGAGGCCGGAUUCGAACUCAGGAUGGAAUGAGGAUGACAUCAGCUGAGGGCUCCUGGGAGAAAAACAAUGCCUAAAUACAGUUCGUUAUUGCUUCACCAUUCCAUUCUCAGGCUGUUAGAAGCCCACCCCAGCUCUUUGUCCUUUCCGGCCUCAGCCAUCCUUGAAGUGCAAGAAAGUAUUAGAAGAGUUUUUGUGGCUGUGGAUCUGUGGACUUCCCUGAAAUGAGAACCACAGGAUGGUUGGACAUAUUCACCUUUCCAACAACAGUAUAUGACUGUGCCUUCCUACCCACAGUUCCACCAACAUUGGCUAUCUUCUGGGGCUGGGAGUAGGAGAAAAGAUCCUCUCGAUUUAUUUCCAACCCAGGCUGCCCUCACUGGAACGAUAGAUCGUGUGGUCUUCUCCUUAUUUGCUGAAAUUUAGGCUGGUGUCUGACAGUUUUAUCCCAAAUGGCGGUGUGUGAGCUUUAGUGAGGAAGAAGGCGGAAACUCAUCGCUCCAAUGAAGGUUUUGGAUUACAUGCAGAUUUCAGCAAUCCAUGUGAUUCAUGGCCUCCAUAACAGCAAAUAAUUGGAACAACUGAAUAGCAACUGAAUGGCCGUGAGAAUAGAUGCCAAAAUAUUUAUAGCAACCCUUUUUGUGGGGGCAGAGAAUGGGAAGCAGAGUAGAUGCCCAUCGAUUGGAGAAUGGGAAAGCCAGUUGUGGUACUGAAUAUGAUGGAAUAGCACCAUGUUGGGAGAAAGGAUAAUCGCUAUAAAUACACAGAAGCAAGAAAAGACGUACAUGACGGAACCAAUGCAAAGUGAGCAGAAUCAGGGAAACAAUGUGAACAAUGACUAUAACAAUGGAAAUGGAAAGAAAAGCAACUUCAAUGAUGCUUCAAAAUUAUAAUAACCAAGAUUAGUCCCAAGGAAAAGAUAUGAGAAAACACCCCCACAACUUCUUUGAAAAAAUAGAGGACCAUAGAUAAGGAACACUACAUGUAAUAUCUGACUUCUCAAUAUUUUGGUAACUUUUAUGGAACUUUUUUUUUCUUCUUUAUAAUAAGGAAGGGUUCAGUGGGAGGUGUUUGGAGACAGAACCAAUGAAAAAUCUAAGUUUUGAAAAACAAGAUAUCAAUAGAAAUGUAAUUUUUUUUAGAAUUUUAUUUUCCAAAUUACAUGUAAAAGCAA